ACCCGCUGAACUUAAGCAUAUCAAUAAGCGGAGGAAAAGAAACCAACAGGGAUUGCCCUAGUAACGGCGAGUGAAGCGGCAACAGCUCAAAUUUGAAAUCUGGCUCCGGCCCGAGUUGUAAUUUGUAGAGGAUGCUUUUGGCGAGGUGCCUUCUGAGUUCCCUGGAACGGGACGCCAUAGAGGGUGAGAGCCCCGUACAGUCGGACACCAAGCCUCUGUAAAGCUCCUUCGACGAGUCGAGUAGUUUGGGAAUGCUGCUCAAAAUGGGAGGUAUAUCUCUUCUAAAGCUAAAUACUGGCCAGAGACCGAUAGCGCACAAGUAGAGUGAUCGAAAGAUGAAAAGCACUUUGAAAAGAGGGUUAAAUAGCACGUGAAAUUGUUGAAAGGGAAGCGCUUGUGACCAGACUUGUGCCGGGGCGAUCAUCCAGUGUUCUCACUGGUGUACUCGACCCGGCACAGGCCAGCGUCGGCUUUCGCAGGGGGAUAAAGGCAGCGGGAACGUGGCUCCUCCGGGAGUGUUAUAGCCCGCUGCUCAAUACCCCUGCGGGGGCCGAGGUUCGCGUUCUGCAAGGACGCUGGCAUAAUGGUCACCAGCGACCCGUCUUGAAACACGG
rnacentral:rRNA from 1 species